rnacentral:rRNA from 1 species
GACGAACGCUGGCGGCGUGCUUAACACAUGCAAGUCGAACGGAAAGGCCCUGCUUUUGUGGGGUGCUCGAGUGGCGAACGGGUGAGUAACACGUGAGUAACCUGCCCUUGACUUUGGGAUAACUUCAGGAAACUGGGGCUAAUACCGGAUAGGAGCUCCUGCUGCAUGGUGGGGGUUGGAAAGUUUCGGCGGUUGGGGAUGGACUCGCGGCUUAUCAGCUUGUUGGUGGGGUAGUGGCUUACCAAGGCUUUGACGGGUAGCCGGCCUGAGAGGGUGACCGGCCAAAAUGGGACCUGGGAUCGGGCCCAGCUCCUAAGGGAGGCAGCAGUGGGGAAUAUUGCACAAUGGGCGGAAGCCUGAUGCAGCAACGCCGCGUGCGGGAUGACGGCCUUCGGGUUGUAAACCGCUUUCGCCUGUGACGAAGCGUGAGUGACGGUAAUGGGUAAAGAAGCACCGGCUAACUACGUG